rnacentral:rRNA from 1 species
UACGAAGGGGGCUAGCGUUGCUCGGAAUCACUGGGCGUAAAGCGCACGUAGGCGGCUUUCUAAGUCAGGGGUGAAAUCCUGGAGCUCAACUCCAGAACUGCCUUUGAUACUGGAGAGCUCGAGUCCGGAAGAGGUGAGUGGAACUGCGAGUGUAGAGGUGAAAUUCGUAGAUAUUCGCAAGAAUACCAGUGGCGAAGGCGGCUCACUGGUCCGGUACUGACGCUGAGGUGCGAAAGCGUGGGGAGCAAACAGG